UACGGAGGGUGCGAGCGUUGUCCGGAAUCACUGGGCGUAAAGGGUGCGUAGGUGGCGCUGUAAGUCAGGUGUGAAAUUUCGGAGCUUAACUCCGAAACUGCAUUUGAUACUGCGGUGCUUGAGGACUGGAGAGGAGACUGGAAUUUACGGUGUAGCAGUGAAAUGCGUAGAGAUCGUAAGGAAGACCAGUGGCGAAGGCGGGUCUCUGGACAGUUCCUGACACUGAGGCACGAAGGCCAGGGGGAGCAAACGGGG
rnacentral:rRNA from 1 species